GGUUAUUGUAGAGCCACCUCAUUAGUCUUCUUUAUAACUGGUACAAACGGGGGGGAAUAAAAGGGAAGUACCUGAAAGCGUUGAGUUGAUACUCAACGCAGCUGAAGGUUUUGAUCAGAGAUCCGAUGCCCGGCUGCCUGGUUUGUGGUGGAAGUACAAAUAACCUGCAGGAAAAACGGAGCCGCAGCUGUCCUCGAUAUUCUGCCGAUGGAGGGAAACACCAGGGUAAGAGCAGACCCCUCUGUUGCUGUCCCUGUACCGACUCCCUCAGGGCUGUUUUGACUUGAUUCUAUCAACUUGAUUUGAUCUUUUUCAAUUAUAUGUUGGUAGUUGUAAAACGCAUGAACUAUUUUGUUUGCAAUUUUGUGUGUCAUGUAUCCUUUUGUGUUUAGUCUUAAUGCUGUAGGUAGUUACAUUUGACAAUAUUAAUGAAUAUUACGAUAAAGCUGAAUUGGGUCCAUAUUACAAUUUAUUGUAAAAAAUAAAAGUGAAUUCCAUUGUAGUUUUAAAGUAGCCGUAGGUCAUUUCAGUAAAAUGAAUUCCCGUCCCUGAGUUCUUCUUCCUCCUCAAAAGAAAUUCACUUUGGGCAAACCUAAAGUGAAAUGGAAGUUUGGAGCUUCUUCAGCUUCUGAAAGGGAAUAGUCGUUGAGUGUACAAGAAGGAUUUAAAUCACAUUUUUUUGCAUUCGAUUGGACCUCUGAAAGGUGGGCUGCCGUUUAGCGUGAUAUGGACCUGCAGGGGUCUUCUGUUUCCACACACACCUCCCUCACUCGUUAGAUGCUGCAGGAGGACGAGGGACAGACGAGAGGGAAAUAUGUCCCGUUUUCAACCAGCCGCAAAUGCCCGACCGCCCCGUUCAGCCUCCAGCAAAGCCCCGACGGUGCGGAGGUCUGUCCCCUCCUCCAGGGAGUGUUCACCUCCUGCCCAAAAGAUGAAUGAAUUGAAAUAUCUUACUAAAUUGAAAGGUGCAACAUUAGUUAGUGUACAUGUGUGUGGGAUUCACCUCUUUGUUUGAAACAGUCCUGUAAGUCCAAAAUGUCUUAUCAUUUUUCUUUUGGACAGUUUACCUGAUUAUUUCUCAUUAAUUUAUUUUUUCUCAAAGCAAUUAAAUUAACCAGAUUCCUUCAAAACGUAACAAAAACGGUUAUAAAUGUCAAUGACAAAGACAUUGACAUUUUCCAGAGCUAUAGCACUGUGGAAAGCACUUAAACGUAUCACACCUACAUUGCAUUAUGAUCAGUUGGAACAUCUAAAGAGAUUUGCUUUUAUUUGCAGACUUUAAAAAAUUCAUCACGUGAAUGAUUGGGGCUGUUGAGUGUGUUUGUCCUGAUGUUUGCCACGUGGAAGUUGAUCAGCUUGAAUCUGCAGAGCAGUGAUCAUGCAGUCGUGGAGAGACAUUGUGCAUGACAGAUACUACAAUAUAAACUUAAUCACAUAAGUUGUCACAUUUGACAUUAACAUGUCACAUUUGACAUGUUUGAUAUCAUUUCAAUUUGAUUUCAUUAACAACUUUUUUUUUUGAAAAGUAAACUAACAUAACCUUUAUUUGCCUUUUAAAUUUGUUUUACUCUACAUGCCAAUGCUUUAUGAUUUUAUUUAGCCAAACCUUUGUCGGAAAGGAUCAGCUCAUGGUGCAAAACUAUAUUGCAUCAUAACUUAACAAUACCUUUGAUAGUUGUAUUCAAGUCACCAUUUAAAAUCUGUACAGUAUGAUCAGGUUCUUUGAAUUUAAAAAUGCAUCAGUAUAAAUAUGCAAGUCUCCUAAUGUCGUUGAUAAACGUAAGUAACUGCUAUGCCUGUGCACUGCACCCUGUAAAGUGUUUGUGUGGCCCAUUUUCAGUUUGUUGCUGACCUGGAGAUCUCAACACACGUGAACACAUUUGUGUCCAGUCUGUCUCUAAAAUGAUUGUGUGUUAUCCCAGAUUUGUGAACUCUUUAUUCUCUCAGGCAUCAGUAAGUACCACAUAGGCACUUACUGAUACAUUUAUUGCAAAUGUCUCCACCUUAACAUCCCCAUGACAUUAAAGUAAAACCAUUGCAUUCAUUUUUAUCUCUGAAACUGAAGAACUGUCUCAAAUCCAAAAGUCAUACUUAGAACAAGAGGUUCAAAACGACGUGUUGGCUGUUUGUGGCAUCUUAUCCGUGUCCCUCAGCAGCUCCCGACUUUCUAUUUGCCUCAAUAAUAGCAAACAUCCUCCCAUACCUUGUCUGUUCUUCCUCAGAUGUUAAUUUGUCCACAUCCCUACAGAACUGUGUGACUGUAGCGUGUGUACAAAGUGUGUGUAGAUGGUAUGUAGUGCUGUGAUAAAGCAUUUUAGACGCGACAAAAUGUAUUGUUUGUAGUUUUAAAUUAACUCUUGUAUUAAAUAUGAUUAACUUUAUUUCAAACCUAGUAAAAAAGAAAAAAAAACUGAUGAAUAUAUGUGACAUUAUCUGGUUCUAUCCCUUAAUAUGAAUAUAUAAUAUGUUAUUUAACAAACCCACCACCCUAGCAUUGACUAUUGGCUAUUUUUUUAAACUGUUGUGGCUUUUUUUUGUCAUAAGCGUGAUACCUCCGACCACUAAUUCAGAUAUGGGGAAUUAUGAUCCAGAGUGUUUCCUUUUUUUUGUCAAGAUGUGCAGCAAUCCUUGCCAACCUAAUUCACCGUGUGGGCUGCACAGUAUUCUAGUGGCUUGUACGCUCACCUCUCAGCAAGACGGGCCCGGGCCCCUUUUGCUUGUUCCCCCUCGGUCAGCGCGGGGGGGUCCUCUGGGUGUUUCAGCCCUUUGCCUGUUAGGAGCUUUUGGAUCGUGCCCCCCCCCCUGCAGGAAGGGGAAGGAUAUGGAGGGUGGUUUGGAUAAUGGAUUCAUCUUACAGUGUUGCAUUUACAGGACAAACAACUACCAGUCAAAACCUGUUUGCCAUGAACAAAACUGAGUGGGAUUUCUGAAGAUUUGCUCCUUGCAUUUCAUUUGCCCAGUGUGCUGCCAGUCUGCGGCCUCAUUUUGUGUGUAUUUUACAUUGCUGUUGUUGUUUUCUGGACCCUUCUAAAAAAAAAACAGGGUAAACUGUUGUGAAAUGUUGUGUCCAAAGAUUGUUUCCCCUUAAUGUGCAUCAUUAUGCUGCUUCAUGCACUGGAGUCACAAAAUGUGCCUUCUGACAGUUCACUGCUGCACGAAAGCGUUCGUGUUCGUCUUACUUGAACCUUACCAAGGAUGCCGUUUGUGUUUCUUUUGUCUUCCAGAUGCCACCAGUUCAGCGAGCGGCACCCAUUGGAAGUCCACCUGCUUUUCCUGGCCCCAUCCUGCUGUCGCCGACGUCUAUGCCUCCAAGAGGAGCUGCUUUCAUCUCCACCGAGUUUGACCCGACCAAGUUGGCACCGAGUAGUGUAAAACACCCGGAGGACUCCAUCCAGGACUCUAUAGGAGACACAGGCAUGCCUUUGGAUAUGUGCGCCGACCACCAGCUGGGUUCUCCCACAGCACCGGUGAUGACCCUGCCGGGCACGGGAGUCAUGCAGGGUUCCAGACUGGGCAUGCCCCCUCUGCAGCCUCCCCCCAACAUGCCGAAUCCUCAUCUACCUCCUUUCCUCUCGCCUCCAAACAUGUCGCACAAUCACCCGCAAAUGAUGCCCGGACGGCCCGUGUUUUCUCCGGAGAGGUUCAGGAUGCCCAUGCCCUUUCCGCCUCGCGGCCCUCCUUUCCAUCGGCAUCUCUCCAUGGGACCAGACGGCAUGCACGACAGGGAAGGGAUGCAUUUCAGAAACGGGAGAGCAGGGUUUGGGUGCCCGCCCUUCCAGAGAGGGAGGUGGUAGAAGCAGGCAGAAUGACAGACCUGAGGGGAGAGGCGUCGGGAUCACUGUGACGGAUCAGUAUCACGACAUCUGGUUCAACAAGGAACUGCUGUAAAUAAUUGAGGGUGCUUAGACUUCUUUUAGUACCGCACCCUUUUCUUACCGUCACAUGAACAAUCACACAGACAGUGUUCUGAAUGUGAUCCACGCACCUCCAAGUUCACCAGAGGAGAGACCUUUUGUUGUAAAUACUGUACAUGCUCGUAGCUGUUUGCUAUCUUUUUGUAUAUUUGAAGUGUGUAGUUCAUGCUGAAGUCUAAUCUUAGUAGUUGGAGGGGAAAAAACAAAGGCAACGUCUGUAUUUUUGAGCGUAUUCCCUUUACCAUAGUUUUUGUCUAAGGAAGGAGACUGAAAAUCUAUAAUUCAAUCACCGUUUUGGUAUUUAGUUUUUAGCGAAAUGGCUUUUGUAACACACUAAUGUUUAAUUCCUGAGUUAAGAAGUUUGAUUUCAUUUGAAGUGGAAGAUUCAUGUCCUGCCAGCAGAGGGUAGUGUAAACCCUGUUACCGCGGCCAACCCCUGUUGUACAUUAAGGUCACACCUUGUAACUCGCAUUGAAAAUUAAAAAAAGGUUUCAAUUUGA
ensembl:lncRNA